rnacentral:rRNA from 1 species
CCUACGGGGUGCAGCAGUGAGGAAUAUUGGUCAAUGGACGAGAGUCUGAACCAGCCAAGUAGCGUGAAGGAUGACUGCCCUAUGGGUUGUAAACUUCUUUUAUAUGGGAAUAAAAUGUUCCACGUGUGGGAUUUUGUAUGUACCAUAUGAAUAAGGAUCGGCUAACUCCGUGCCAGCAGCCGCGGUAAUACGGAGGAUCCGAGCGUUAUCCGGAUUUAUUGGGGUUAAAGGGAGCGUAGGUGGAUUGUUAAGUCAGUUGUGAAAGUUUGCGGCUCAACCGUAAAAUUGCAGUUGAAACUGGCAGUCUUGAGUACAGUAGAGGUGGGCGGAAUUCGUGGUGUAGCGGUGAAAUGCUUAGAUAUCACGAAGAACUCCGAUUGCGAAGGCAGUUCACUGGACUGCAACUGACACUGAGGCUCGAAAGUGUGGGUAUCAAACAGGAUUAGAUACCCGAGUAGUC